UGUGCUGGAAGGCAGAGACCGUGUCUUCCCAUCUAAAGUCGGCCAUCAGAAGACUGAAGGCGUUGAAAGACCAGUAGAAGCUUCACCAUGUGAAACAUUGCUAGCCUAUAAUAAACCGGUUAAUUUAAAUAA